UUACAAACAUGUAAAGUGAUAGCGGCCACGUUUAAACUCGAAGAACGUUUACCUCUAGGACGAGGAAAUCGAACAUAGAAGUUAGUUACGUUAGGGGAUAUGAACACUACGAACAAACAUACGUUGUUCAAAAAGGUCGAAUAAAGAGAAUUGAUUCAUAAUAAUUAUGAAUCAAGUAGUAAUAAGAUGGUUAUGAUGGUUAGCAUAAGAAGUUACUCGAUAAGUAUAUCGAGACACUUUCACCUAAAAACAGUAUUAGAUGAAUGAUUGUGUAAACCUAACUAUAAAGUUAACAGUUGGUGAAUAAUUAAUCAGAGUACCGCAGCGGAAGUAUGGAAGGAAGUGAAUGAUAAAGUUUGAUUAAGUGAUAUUAGAAGAUUAUGAAAAUUCGAGGACGAAUUUUUAUAAGGAGGGAAGAUUGUAAUCACCUAAAUUUUUGAGGUAUUACGUGUAGUGCCACGAGGCAUAAUCGUAAAGAUUAAGAACGAUAAUAUCAGAUUAGGAUUGGAUAAUAAGGACUUAGACCGAAGCGGGUCUAUUGGAAUUAUCGUAGAAUAAUAAUUUAAAUGAAAAAUUAUUAUGCGAAAAUUGGAUUUAAUCAAGACAAAAAGGGAAUAAAAUAAAAUAAUUUGAAAAGCCAGAGUUAAUAAUAUUCACGUCAAGGUCCGUGAAAUAUUAUUAAUAAAUGAUCGUCAAGUUUCGUAAGUAUACAAAAUCGUUUUAGAAGAAAGUUUGACGAUUAGUUAAGAAUAAGGGUUAAAGUGCAAAUUAGCCACUUUAAGGACUAAAGUGGACUUUUAACCACAAACUUCCGGAGGAAGUUGUGUUUUACUCUAUUUUCUCAAGAUAAGAAAAUAAUAUCGGUAAAGUUGUUAUUGAUAGUCAUUAAAAUGAAAAUUGGACGAAAAAGUGAGAAAAAGUGCAAGUUAGCUCAAAAUGGAAAUUUGAGCGUUUUUGGCCAAAAUUGCCAAAAUAAAUUGUUGGAGGGUGAUAUUAUAAGGUAUGAUACUAUUGUUAUUUAUUUGGGAAAUAAAUAAUACGGAAUUUAUCGAGAAUCGAAUGAUUAAAGGAUUAGUGGACUAAAUUGGACGAAAUAAAAGUUAUAAAGUGAAAGUUGAGGAGGUGACAAACUCAAGGACUAAAGGAGACUUUUGCCUCACCUAUUUAAGACACUUGCAUAUGAGUUUAAACUCGGCAAGCAUAUCAUUUUCAGCUCCUAAAAUUCGUCCUUCACCCUUUCUCCAUGGAAGAACAUCAAGCAAAUUUCAAAUGGUCAUAACUCACUCAAUUUUGAUCCGAAUUGAGCGAUUCUUGUGGCCACGGAACGAGGGAAGGAUCCUCUAUUGAUAUAUAGUAUCAAUUUAAGGUUAUUGAAAGCUUGAAGGGAGUAUUUUGAUGGUUGUUCAUGGAGGAAUUCAUUCAACCAAAGGGUUAUCCCAUCAAGAAAAGGUAUAAAUUCAGAAUUUUGGACUUUUGGUAAUGAAUUGAUUGAAUUGAGUGGAGUAUUGGUUAAGUUUGAAGUUGGAUUUUCUGGUUUGGUGUUGAAUUGAUGCUGUCUACAACUAGAAUUUUUCGAAAUACUUAGAAAUGUUUGUUUGAGCUGGAAUUUUUAUAUGUUCUGAGUAUAUGAGUUAAGUUGGUGUAUAAAAAAUUUCAGAAUUUUUCAUGUUUCUGAUAUUGAGAUAAAAAUUAAAUAGCACCUAGUGCUCUGUUUGCAAAUUGUGUAAGGCUGCUGCUGUAAGUUAAUUAUUUGAGGACCUUAAACACAUUAGUUUGGCCUAA